UCAUCUUAACUGAGUAACCAGUCAAUGUAAAAAAAAAUACAAAUUUAAAAAUGUCAGCUUCGGCCUCGGUUUCUCUAUCGAAAUUCUAUAUUCUUUUAAAAGAAAAACGGCAGUAGGACAGCUCACUCCUGUGCGGCCAUGUAGGUUUAUAUAUGCUUACCUUGCCGCAUUCACACGCUCAAUCCGAUUCCGAACUGCAAACACAGACAUCCUUCGGCCGAGGGUUGCAAUACUAGCGCCAUAUUUGACCGCUCUGUUGGCCUUAUCACGCCGGGCACACUAGUCAGCCAGCUCGGAGCUCAAGUGACCACCACAAAGUUGCCGGACCGCAGCACAGUGGGCUAAGUUGCCAAUAUAAUUGGCAACAAGUUCGUGUUCAAUGAUGACUAAAGGCAUUUCGUUGCUGAAGCUUUUAACUAUAAAAGCAAUAUGUUAUAUUUUAGGUGCUUAAAUAGGAAGUGGAUUAAUCAUUGCACCACGGUGCACAGGUGCAAUCGCCUGUGUGUCCCACUCAAGUGCACCGCUUUUUGGUGGGAAGAGCUGGAUGUUUGGUAGGUGCGGCGGGCAUUUACAACAUUUGCGGUCUGCAGGCAUUUGCAUUUUACUUUCGAAUGGGCCACGCUACGGCACGGAUAUGUGUCUAUAACAAAACAAUUAGAAACUACGGAGUCCGUGGCUACGGACUGGGACCUCGGCGAUGUGACGCUGAUUUAUGAGAGGGCGCAGGCGGAGGAGGAGGAGGAGGCGCUGUGGGCGGGGCCGGAGCCACGAAAACUCAAAGACAGGCACGUAGCAAAAGGCAGAGGGUGGCGGGGAUAAGCCAUCGACCAAAAGGCAAAUAAAAGAAACUUGGCACACACAUAAAA